AUUGAACGCUGGCGGCAGGCCUAACACAUGCAAGUCGAGCGGAUGAGAGGAGCUUGCUCCUCGAUUCAGCGGCGGACGGGUGAGUAAUGCCUAGGAAUCUGCCUAGUAGUGGGGGACAACGUUCCGAAAGGAACGCUAAUACCGCAUACGUCCUCCGGGAGACAGUGGGGGAUCUUCGGACCUCACUCUAUUAGAUGAGCACAGGUCGGAUUAGCUAGUUGGUAGGUUAAAGGCCUACCAAGGCGACGAACCGUAACUGGGCUGGGGGGAGGGUGAGUCACACUGGAACUGAGACACGGGCAAGACUCCUACGGGAGGCAGCAGUGGGGAAUAUUGGACAAUGGGCGAAAGCCUGGUCCAGCCAUGCCGCGUGUGUGAAGAAGGCCUUCGGGUCGUAAAGCACUUUAAGUUGGGAGGAAGGGCUCAUAGCGAAUACCUGUGAGUUUUGACGUUACCAACAGAAUAAGCACCGGCUAACUUCGUGCCAGCCGCCGCGGUAA
rnacentral:rRNA from 1 species